UAUUAACUUUCUUGAUUUAUCCUUCCAGUCCGAUAAGAUCAAUCUGGAUAUCCAAAGAGUGGUUGGGUAUCGUCAAUGGUGUAACAAACUGUGGAAUGCCAUUAGGUUUGCCAUGAGUAAACUGGGUGAAGAUUACACCCCUCCAGCAAAGAUAGUUCCUCGUGAAAUGCCUUUUAGUUGCCAAUGAAGACUACACCCCUCCAACAAAGAUAGUUCCUCGUGAAAUGCCUUUUAGCUGCCAGUGGAUACUCUCAGCACUUGACAAGGCCAUUGCGAAAACUGUCUCAUCCCUGGAAUCUUAUGAUUUCUCCGAUGCAGC
rnacentral:lncRNA from 1 species